AAAAAGAAAAAGAAAAAAAAGUGCAGCAGUUGUGGACUCUUCCAACAGUGUUUGUCUCGUUCCGGGGGGUGGGUACGUAGUCGAGCAGUGCUGGAAGGGCCGUUUGCAUGUAAACAGAGCAGACUACUGGAGUGGAUUAAGUUUUUGCAAUCGCCAUAUUUUAUACUUUUCCUUCUGUCCUGGAGACUCUCUUUCCAUAAGCAACCUCAUCUACAUUUCGGAGGAAAAUACUUUGCUGCCUGGCCUGUGGCGUGCUGAAAGUGUCGAAUUAUGCACUCGGGCCUUGGACUAGAGUAAAGUUCUAAGCGGACUCUUCAACUUCUGCAUCCUCGCUGACGGCGCCUGUCACACGGCACUGGGCCCUCGCGGCCUUGCCUUGUGGAUGAGGAAGUAAAGUGAUACAACCCACCCAGGAGAAAGGAACCCAUUUUAUGGGCGAAUCCUCUUUCCUGGACUCCUGGGUGCAACAAAACAUUGUUAUUAUGGACGCUGCCCUUGAAUCGAUCAUGCAGGACCUGGCUGAGCUGCACCGGUCCAGCAAGCCUGCCGCCAUGCUCGCAGACCUGGCCAAGCCCAAGGCCUCCUCGCCCAAGAACCAGAAUGAUGUUCGGGUGAAGUUUGAGUACAGAGGUGAAAAGAGGAUUCUGCAGUUUCCCCGGCCCCUCAGUCUUGAUGACCUCAGCUCCAAGGCGAAAGUAGCCUUUGGUCAGACUAUGGACCUGCACUACACCAAUAACGAGCUGGUGAUCCCGUUGACCACUCAGGAUGAUCUGGACAAGGCAGUGGAGCUGCUGGACAGGAGCGUCCACAUGAAGAGCCUCAAGAUCCUGCUGGUGCAGCAGGCUUCCACGCAGAACUCUGUUUCCAGUAUGGAUCUGUUGCCAUCUCGUGAGAACCUGGACAACACAGACUUCAGAGGUUCCUCGGACCGCAGUUCCCCUCCUCCAGGCUACAUCCCUGAUGCUCUGCAGCAGGUGGCUCGCAACGGCUCCUUCACCAGCAUCAACAGCGAGGGAGAGUUUAUCCCCGAGAGCAUGGACCAGAUGUUGGACCCGUUGUCUAUGAGUAGUCCUGAGAACUCGGCCUCGGGGAGUUGCCCGUCUCUGGACAGUCCUCUAGACAGUGACAGUUACCCAAAGUCCCGGAUGCCCCGUGCUCAAAGUUACCCUGACAACCACCAAGAUUUCCCAGAGUAUGACAUCCCUGUGUUUGAGAAGUCUGGCAAGGGUGGCACGUAUCCACGGCGAUACCACAUCCCCUUUGGUCUCCAGGACUACAGUGAUGGGCGCAAGACGUUCCCGCGGGCGCGGCGGACGCAGGGUCAGGGCGUUCGCUCUCCGGUCAGCUUCAGCCCCGUGGAGCAGCAGUCGCCCAGCGGCAGCAGCGGCAGUAGCAUCUUCAGCCCGGAGCUGGACGAGCCGGGAGGAUUCCGCCGCCGCCGCGGCUCUGACAUCGAGCCCAGCCCCGCCCCCAGCUCCGCCUCCAACCCCGCGCCCACCCUCUCCGUCAUGGACAUCAGCCCGCCCAGCCGCUCCCCGCGUGCCCCCACUAACUGGCGCCUGGGGAAGCUAUUGGGUCAGGGGGCGUUCGGUCGCGUCUUCCUCUGCUACGAUGCAGACACCGGCCGAGAGCUCGCCGUCAAACAGGUGCAGUUUGACCCUGACAGCCCGGAGACCAGCAAGGAGGUGAGUGCUCUAGAGUGGGAAAUUCAGCUCCUGAAGAAUCUGUUCCACGAGAGAAUCGUCCAGUACUACGGCUGCCUACGGGACACACACGAGAGGACGCUCUCCAUCUUCAUGGAGUACAUGCCAGGGGGUUCUAUUAAAGACCAGCUGAAGGCGUAUGGAGCCCUGACGGAGAAUGUGACGCGCAAGUACACUCGGCAGAUACUGGAGGGCGUUUCCUACCUGCACAGCAACAUGAUCGUCCACAGAGACAUCAAAGUUACCACCAGCAGCUCAAGUUCAAGUUCAAGUCUCAAGCCCAAGGGCCAACAUCCUACGGGAUUCAGCCGGAAACGUGAAGCUGGGGGACUUUGGCGCAAGUCGGCGUCUCCAGACGAUCUGUCUCUCGGGGACAGGCAUCAAGUCCGUGACUGGAACGCCGUACUGGAUGAGUCCAGAGGUCAUCAGCGGCGAGGGCUAUGGACGCAAGGCGGACAUUUGGAGCGUGGGCUGCACGGUGGUGGAGAUGCUGACGGAGCGGCCGCCAUGGGCGGAGUUCGAGGCGAUGGCGGCCAUCUUCAAGAUCGCCACGCAGCCGACCAAUCCGGCGCUGCCGGGGCACGUGUCGGACCACUGCAGAGACUUCCUGAAGCGCAUCUUUGUGGAGACCAAGCAGAGACCCGCUGCCGAGGACCUACUGAGACACAUCUUUGUUCACUAGAACCCCCCCCCCCCAAACCCACAACCCCCCCCCAAACCCCCAACCCCACUCCAAAACUAUGUUCUCACCCCCCCCUCCAUAAUCCUGCCCCCAACUCCCUCUGGCCUAUCAGCUACCGCUCCCAAGUGUCUGUCAGCUCUGCCCCUACCUCUACCAGCCUCCUGAUUGGACCAGAGAAGAAAAAAUGGGAGUGGCUGCAGAGGGCAGGGCCCCGCCCGUGUGUCUUCGUCUUUUGCAAGAUGGCGAAGAAAUGGGGCGGAGCUUUUUUGUUGUUGUUUGUUGUUUGUUGUUGUUGUUUUGUUUUUGUUUAGAUUCUGAAAACGUUGCACCUUAAUUUCCCAUUGGGCCUGAGAGCUCAGAGACUGUCGGAUGUUUCGACACGGAGACUGUCGAUGUUUCGACUCUUUGUAUUUGACUUUUUUUUUUAACGUGUGGACGACGACGACGAGAAGGAGGUGGAAUGUCAGAGAGUCGUGAGUUCUGAGGAGAUCCGGUGAGGUUCUGCGUUCUGAGGAGAUCCGAUUUAAUGCAUGAUGGUGUGAGGAGGUUACACCUUGAGCAGAGGUCGACUUUAGGAGCAUUCCAUAGAAUGGGCGACAUCGUGUAUGAGCCAUGGAGGCUGGCACUUUGCAAAUUGUUGAUAAUAAUUAUGACGAUGAAAAUAAUAAAAAAAAAAGGUAUUUAUUUCA